CGGGAAAGUUCCGAAGAAUAGGAGUGGCUGAGUUAGCUACGGAGUUCAUUUGGGGCCGGGAAGCAGAGAGGAAGACAACGAUAAUUAUGAUGAAGAACACGUUUUUGAUGUCAGAAAGUACAACACUUCCCAUUAUGCACUGCAUGUGAGCCUCACACCUGCCCUGCAGUGGAGGAGUAGAUAGUUUACAGGCCAACACCUGUCCUACUUCCACUCACUGACCUUCCCUGACCAAUCCAG
rnacentral:lncRNA from 1 species